AGGCCCGGGGACAAGGGUUUGGUUUUCAUCGGGUCGGUCAAAGGGGCCCCACAAACAGGUUUUGCGUUUUCGGGGGGUUUUAUAACCCGGGGGGGGCCAAAGCGGCCCAGUCGGGAACCGAGCACAGCAGAUCCGGGCAUGGACAGCGGGUCAAAUGGUUCGUCAGCGACACCUUCUUGAAACACGGACCAAAGGAGUUUAACAUCCACCGCGAGUGUUCGGAUGUCAAACCCCGUCCCGCGCAGUGGAAAGCGAAUGGAGGGUGGGAACCCCCUGAGGGUGCACCAUCGCCCGAUCCUGAAGUUUUCGGAUGGAUUUGAGUAGGAGCGUGGCUGUUGGGACCCGAAAGAUGGUGAACUAUGCCUGAAUAGGGUGAAGCCAGAGGAAACUCUGGUGGAGGCUCGCAGCGGUUCUGACGUGCAAAUCGAUCGUAAAAUUUGGGUAUAGGGGCGAAAGACUAAUCGAACCAUCUGGUAGCUGGUUCCUGCCGAAGUUUCCCUCAGGAUAGCAGUAACGUUUUCAGUUUUAUGAGGUAAAGCGAAUGAUUAGAGGCCUUGGGGUUGAAACAACCUUAACCUAUUCUCAAACUUUAAAUAUGUAAGAAGCCCUUGUUACUUCGUUGAACGUGGGCACUGGAAUGGAUCGUUACUAGUGGGCCAUUUUUGGUAAGCAGAACUGGCGAUGCGGGAUGAACCGAACGCGAGGUUAAGGUGCCGGAAUGCACGCUCAUCAGACACCACAAAAGGUGUUAGUUCAUCUAGACAGCCCGACAGUGGCCAUGGAAGUCGGAAUCCGCUAAGGAGUGUGUAACAACUCACGGGCCGAAUGAACUAGCCCUGAAAAUGGAUGGCGCUCAAGCGUGCUACCCAUACCUCGCCGUCGGGGUAGGAUCGAUGCCCCGACGAGUAGGCAGGCGUGGAGGUCCGUGACGAAGCCCGGGGAGUGAUCCCGGGUCGAACGGCCUCUAGUGCAGAUCUUGGUGGUAGUAGCAAAUACUCAAAUGAGAACUUUGAGGACUGAAGUGGGGAAAGGUUCCAUGUGAACAGCAGUUGGACAUGGGUUAGUCGAUCCUAAGACAUAGGGAAAUUCCGUUUGAAAGCGCGCCCUCGUGCGCCGUCAAUGGAAAGGGAAGCCGGUUAACAUUCCGGCACCUGGAUGUGGAUUCUCCACGGCAACGUAACUGAACGCGGAGACGUCUGCGUGGGGCCCGGGAGGAGUUCUAUUUUUUUAUUGACGGCCAGUCAACCUGAAAUCGGUUUGUCAGGAGCUAGGGUUAAGUGGCCGGCAGAGCCCCGCACCUUUGCGGGGUCCGGUGCGCCCCCGACGACCCUUGAAAAUACGCGGGAGGGAAUAGUUUUCACGCCAGGU
rnacentral:ncRNA from 1 species